GGGACUCCGGAUGUUGUGGAUUACAUCUCCCCUGGUGCUUUGCCAGCAUUAUGGGAGAUGUAGACCACAACAUCUGGAGUCCC